UGGGGAAUUUUGCGCAAUGGGCGAAAGCCUGACGCAGCAACGCCGCGUGAGUGAUGAAGGCUUUCGGGUCGUAAAGCUCUGUCAAGGGGAAAGAAAUGUAUUGUGGUUAAUACCCAUGGUACUUGACGGUACCCCUAAAGGAAGCACCGGCUAACUCCGUGCCAGCAGCCGCGGUAAUACGGAGGGUGCAAGCGUUGUUCGGAUUUAUUGGGCGUAAAGCGCGUGUAGGCGGUUUGUUAAGUCUGAUGUGAAAGCCCUGGGCUCAACCUAGGAAGUGCAUUGGAUACUGGCAGACUUGAAUACGGGAGAGGGUAGUGGAAUUCCUGGUGUAGGAGUGAAAUCCGUAGAUAUCAGGAGGAACACCGGUGGCGAAGGCGGCUGCCUGGACCGAUAUUGACGCUGAGACGCGAAAGCGUGGGUAGCAAACA
rnacentral:rRNA from 1 species